UACAGGGGGGGCAAGCGUUGUUCGGAAUUACUGGGCGUAAAGGGCUCGUAGGCGGCCAAAUAAGUCCGACGUGAAAUCCCAAAGCUUAACUUUGGAACUGCGUCGGAUACUGGAUGGCUUGAAAUCGGGAGAGGGAUGCAGAAUUCCAGGUGUAGCGGUGAAAUGCGUAGAUAUCUGGAGGAACACCAGUGGCGCAAGCGGCCGCCUGGGUAUGACCUGACACUGAGCCACGACGGCGUGGGGAGCAAACGGG
rnacentral:rRNA from 1 species